GCGGCAUGCCUUACACAUGCACUCGAGCGGCAGCACGGGUGCUGCCCCGGUGGCGAGUGGCGAAGGGUGAGUAAUACAUCGGAACAUGUCCUGUAGUGGGGGAUAGCCCGGCGAAAGCCGGAUUACUACCGCAUACGAUCUACGGAUGAAAGCGGGGGACUUCGGGCCUCGCGCUAUAGGGUUGGCCGAUGGCUGACUGCUGUUGGUGGGGUAAAGGCCUACCAAGGCGACGAUCAGUAGCUGGUCUGAGAGGACACCGCCACACUGGGACUGAGACACGGCCCAGACUCCUACGGGAGGCAGCAGUGGGAUUUUGGGACAAUGGGCGAAAGCCUGAUCCAGCAAUGCCGCGUGUGUGAAGAAGGCCUUCGGGUUGUAAAGCACUUUUGUCCGGAAAGAAAUCAUUGGCUCUAAUACAGUCGGGGGAUGACGGUACCGGAAGAAUAAGCACCGGCUAACUACGUGCCAGCAGCCGCGGUAAUACGUAGGGUGCAAGCGUUAAUCGGAAUUACUGGGCGUAAAGCGUGCGCAGGCGGUUUGCUAAGACCGAUGUGAAAUCCCCGGGCUCAACCUGGGAACUGCAUUGGUGACUGGCAGGCUAGAGUAUGGCAGAGGGGGGUAGAAUUCCACGUGUAGCAGUGAAAUGCGUAGAGAUGUGGAGGAAUACCGAUGGCGAAGGCAGCCCCCUGGGCCAAUACUGACGCUCAUGCACGAAAGCGUGGGGAGCAAACAGGAUUAGAUACCCUGGUAGUCCACGCCCUAAACGAAGUGCAACUAGUUGUUGGGGAUUCAUUUCCUUAGUAACGUAGCUAACGCGUGAAGUGACCGCC
rnacentral:rRNA from 1 species